rnacentral:rRNA from 1 species
ACAGUGGACGCGAGCAUCUGUGGCCAAGUUUUUAAGGGCGCACGGUGGAUGCCUUGGCACCAGGAACCGAUGAAGGACGUGGGAGGCCACGAUAGGCCCCGGGGAGUCGUCAACCAGGCUUUGAUCCGGGGGUGUCCGAAUGGGGAAACCCGGCAGUCGUCAUGGGCUGUCACCCGCUGCUGAACACAUAGGCAGUGUGGAGGGAACGCGGGGAAGUGAAACAUCUCAGUACCCGCAGGAAGAGAAAACAACCGUGAUUCCGGGAGUAGUGGCGAGCGAAACUGGAUGAGGCCAAACCGUAUACGUGUGAGACCCGGCAGGGGUUGCGUGUGCGGGGUUGUGGGAUCUCUCUUCCACGGUCUGCCGGCCGUGGGGCGAGUCAGAAACCGUUGAUGUAGACGAAGGACAUGCGAAAGGUCCGGCGUAGAGGGUAAGACCCCCGUAGUCGAAACGUCAGCGGCUUGCUUGAGAGACACCCAAGUAGCACGGGGCCCGAGAAAUCCCGUGUGAAUCUGGCGGGACCACCCGCUAAGCCUAAAUAUUCCCUGGUGACCGAUAGCGGAUAGUACCGUGAGGGAAUGGUGAAAAGUACCGCGGGAGCGGAGUGAAAUAGUACCUGAAACCGUGUGCCUACAAGCCGUGGGAGCGUCGGGAUGGAGCUUGCUUCAUCCUCGUGACUGCGUGCCUUUUGAAGAAUGAGCCUGCGAGUUUGCGGUGUGUUGCGAGGUUAACCCGGGUGGGGUAGCCGUAGCGAAAGCGAGUCCGAACAGGGCGAUUUUAGUAGCACGCUCAAAACCCGAAGCGGAGUGAUCUAGCCAUGGGCAGGUUGAAGCGGAGGUAAGACUUCGUGGAGGACCGAACCCACCAGGGUUGAAAACCUGGGGGAUGACCUGUGGUUAGGGGUGAAAGGCCAAUCAAACUCCGUGAUAGCUGGUUCUCCCCGAAAUGCAUUUAGGUGCAGCGUCGUGUGUUUCUUGCCGGAGGUAGAGCACUGGAUAGGCGAUGGGCCCUACCGGGUUACUGACCUUAGCCAAACUCCGAAUGCCGGUAAGUGAGAGCGCGGCAGUGAGACUGUGGGGGAUAAGCUCCAUGGUCGAGAGGGAAACAGCCCAGAGCAUCGACUAAGGCCCCUAAGCGUACGCUAAGUGGGAAAGGAUGUGGAGUCGCACAGACAACCAGGAGGUUGGCUUAGAAGCAGCCACCCUUGAAAGAGUGCGUAAUAGCUCACUGGUCUAGUGAUUCCGCGCCGACAAUGUAGCGGGGCUCAAGCGUACCGCCGAAGUCGUGUCAUUGCAGCAAUACGGCCAACGCCGGCUGUGAUGGGUAGGGGAGCGUCGUGUGCCGGGUGAAGCAGCCGCGGAAGCGAGUUGUGGACGGUUCACGAGUGAGAAUGCAGGCAUGAGUAGCGAUACAAACGUGAGAAACGUUUGCGCCGAUUGACUAAGGGUUCCUGGGUCAAGCUGAUCUGCCCAGGGUAAGUCGGGACCUAAGGCGAGGCCGACAGGCGUAGUCGAUGGAUAACCGGUUGAUAUUCCGGUACCCGCUGUGAAGCGUCAAACAUCGAGCAUCGUGAUGCUAAGGCCGUGAAACCGCCCGCUGCCGGCUUUGCCGUCAGUGGGAGUGGUGGAGCCGCUGAACCAAGCGGUUAGUAGGUGAGUGAUGGGGUGACGCAGGAAGGUAGUCCAUCCCGGGCGGUGGUUGUCCCGGGGUAAGGGUGUAGG